GAUGAAGAACGCAGCGAAAUGCGAUAAGUAAUGUGAAUUGCAGAAUUCAGUGAAUCAUCGAAUCUUUGAACGCACAUUGCGCCCCUUGGUAUUCCGGGGGGCAUGCCUGUUCGAGCGUCAUUUCAACCCUCAAGCUCUGCUUGGUAUUGGGCACCGUCCUUUGCGGGCGCGCCUCAAAGACCUCGGCGGUGGCGUCUUGCCUCAAGCGUAGUAGAAUACACCUCGCUUCGGAGCGUAAGGCGUCGCCCGCCGGACGAACCUUCUGAACUUUUCUCAAGGUUGACCUCGGAUCAGGUAGGGAUACCCGCUGAACUUAAGCAUAUCAAUAAGCGGAGGA
rnacentral:misc_RNA from 1 species